AGACCAGAUAAAACUUACAAUAUCGUGAUGAAUUGUUUUGUUAAGUUGGUAAAGCAUGUUCUUGGAUUACGAGAGGCUUAUUGUAAAUGUAAACCAAAAAUUUCUUAUGUUUCUUCAUAAUUUAAAGUGCUAGUGAAUUUUCA